rnacentral:rRNA from 1 species
UACCCGCUGAAUUUAAGCAUAUAAGUAAGCGGAGGAUAAGAAUCAAACUAGGAUUCCCUCAGUAAUGGCGAAUGAACAGGGAGUAGCUCAGCGUGGAAAUUGAAGCCUCUGGCUUUGAAUUGUAGACUUGAGAUGCGCUGCCAUCGGAGGUGUAGAUGUAAGCCUCUUGGAAAAGAGCAUCGACGAGGGUGCGAGUCCUGUUUGUCAUCUGCAGUCCCCCAUGUACGGCGCGCUUCCCAAGAGUCACGUUCCUUGGAACUGGAGCGCAAAGCGGGUGGUGGCUUUCAUCUCAAGCUCAAUAUGGGUUUGAGACCGAUAGUAAACAAGUACCAUGAGGGAAAAGUGAAAAGGACUUUGAAAAGAGAGUUACAAGUGCCUGAAAUUGCUGGAAGGGAAGCGAAGGGAGCCAGAGUUGUUUGGCGACAUCUUCCACGCGCUAUUGCGAUGAAUCGCUGUCUCAACGAAAGUCAGCAAGCGAUCCCGAAAUGAAACGCGCGUAGUGUUUCUUGCCAUGCACGUCAACACCAAUUUGCUGAGGAGGAGCACUCCGGAGACGUGGCUGUCUGCCUUCGGGGAGUUGCAAGUGUCUGGUAGAACUCGCUUGUGAAUUGACAUAUUGCUGUCUGGUUGCAGCGCUCUGCAUUGGCUCAGCCCAACUCGAGCAAGCGGGGCGCGGUCCUGACGCGCAGACGAGGACCAAGUAGUUCCUUUCGACCCGUCUUGAAACACGGACCAAGGAGUCUAACGUAUCUGCGAGCUCGUGGGCGGGCAAACCUGUUUGCGCAAUUAAAGUGACUGCUGGGACUUCUGCACCAGCGCCCGAUCAAUCGAUUGAGAGAGGUUUGAGUGUGAGCAUAUCCGUUAGGACCCGAAAGAUGGUGAACUAUGCCUGAGAAGGGCAAACUCAGGGGAAACUCUGGUGGAGGCUUGCAGCGAUACUGACGUGCAAAUCGUUCGUCAUACUUGGGUAUAGGGGCGAAA